AAGAUCAUCAAUCAUGUCUUGAGUUUGAAGUUUAGAGGAGGAGCAACGCUCCGGCCAUCGAUUGCGCUGAGGCUAUAGCCCUUUUUCCCUGAGCCCAAGCUUUUUUACGCACAAAACCGAAACAGGCCAUCUAUCCCUUUUAAUAUUUAGCUCCAUCAAUGAUAAUAUACACUUUUGCGCAGAUGGCAUAAUCGUUAAAUUGAUAUGUUUUCACAUAAAUUGAUACAUUUAUGGCUCGGUGACAUUUUUGGUGGUUGUCGAAAUUAACCAUUCAUAGGUUGAAUGAGCUAGUGGGUUGGAUUCAGCUGUAAGGUCAAUAUACUCCCAACAAACAAACGCGCCAUACGGUUGCUUGGGAUGACAAUAGAAAUAGCAAUUGAAAAAUAUUUUUAAAAUGAAGGACUGUGACAACAAUUAUGUUUGUUGGCAUAAGGGGGUGGGAAGCCCUACAAGAAAAAGUAGGACUGCAGGGUUGACGAACGGCUGUGUGGACAGUUCAACGUGCAAUAGCCCGAGAAGGAACUACAGUGUUAUGCGCAGAGCGGCAUGCAUCGUCUCCAAAUACCUCUGACCGAUGUUACAUUCUGUGAACAGAACCAGGGGCUGGAUGCGUGAGCUUUUGAAGACAUGGGUUUUUGAUAUUAGCCCGACUGCUUAUAAUGAUAUCGUGCACUAUGACCUGUACACUAACCCUAGCGUUUUUCUUCCGGACAAACAUGGUUGAGGACUCAUAUGGAUAAGGAUACAUAUGAACAAAAUCUGUGUUCAAGUAGAAGUGCAUCUCCGUCAACAUGCGGAUCCGUCUCUUCUGCAGAAGAUGGCAUUAACAGGCGGUAAAAUUUCAUCUGGUGGUGUCAAAUUGAGGUCAGUUUAGGGUUAAAGCUCUCGGUGUCCGUGUGGGACAUGGCCAGCUGCGUUUGGAUUCAUUAGGGGACAGCGGAUCCAUUUCAAGGAAAACACUACUGAGACAAUCACGAGGCUAAAGAUCCACUCGGUGUCACAUCCUAAAAGUGCACCUACUGUAAAAGAAGUAACCCCCAAACUCUCAUUUCAAAACAGACACCAAUAUCUCCACUUUGCCAUGGCUUCCUCUAAAGUAGCCUGGUAGCCUAUAUGUUGCUUAAUAUGGAGAAAUAUUUUCUUGAUUUAAUUCCUUCAAAAAGGUCACUGAUACGAAUCGGGGUUUAAAUCCUCUUAGUGACCUUAAAUACUUCUUUAGAAACAAUCGCUGCUUAACCACAGGAACAAAUAACAUCGGCCUAAUCUUGUUUGUUACUUUGUUCUGAGUUGGCCCGCCUUAGUAUUUGAGAUUAUGCAAAUAGGAAAAGCUAAUGUUGGCUAUAGAAAGCCCACAGAUAAGAGUAGAUCAUAGACUUUUCUGAAGGGGACAGAAAACCAACACUUUCAGUAACCUUAAGGUCAAUACAAAGAUAAUUCUGAAUUGCGUUCAGGUAUAUUUAAUGUAUGGUUAUUUUCUGAAGUUUUAUAGUAGGCUUUUGUUCAAUUGAUGUUCAGACAAUAUCAAUACUCGAAUGUAUAUGUUAAAAUCUAGUGAUUAACUAACUAUUCAUUUAUAUAGGUUUGUUUAUCUCAGUGUUUACAUAAUCUACAGUGAAGUUUUUUUUGUUUAUACGUAGCCCUGUCAAUGUUUUCCUCAUGCAACACAUACGGCAUUACCUCACCAGGCUGAACUCUUUCUGACCCCACGUGAAAUGUGACUAGGGUCCCAGAAAGUGGAAUGAGCAACUCAAAUACUUGUCAAAGUUUCGCGACUAACUGUAAAUUCUUCAGUUCCUAAGCCGUAUUUCCCCUCUAUCGAUUCUCAGAUUCUGGUGUCUGAGGAGGGUGAGAGAGAGAGGGGGUGGGGUGGGGAGCUACACAAAAUGUAACUGUGGCGUUCUCCCUUGAAAAUCCUUGGGAUCUGUCUCAAAGACACUUAGCAUGCCUAAUGCGUAAAAUAUGCAUUCCUCUAGCGACAUCUGGCGGAUUGAACAAACGCCAAACGUUGAAUCGCGCCACUAUUAAUAAUUAAGAAAAAAAUAGGUAAUCUUUAGGAAAAAUCUAAUUUGCGUGACAACGAAAAAUAUGCAUUAUAAAUUGUGAUCAUAAUGAAUUCAUUAUUAUGUGAACCAUAUAUGUUUUUAAAGUGCAAUUUAAUACAUUUUACAGUGGAAAAUAGGCCUAUUUUAAAAAUAUUUUGUGAGGAGAGAAUGGAUUCGAAUGCCUAUGUUAUCAAUAUAUCAAGCAUAAUUUGUAUCCCAACAAACAAUUUUUCUGAGUGAAAUGUGAACCACGCAGGGUGCUGUGUAAUAUCAAAAUAACGGUAACCAAAAUUGUACUAUUCGUCCAAAGAUUAGGAGUAAAUAGAAAAACCCAGUGAGGCAGUUGGGACCAUCAUUAGUUAUGGUUUCUGGCUCAAUUAAUGUAAAGGAAUUUACUGGUACGCAGGCCAUUCAUCCCUCAGUGCAAUUACUCAAAGGUGUUUUUCUGUACAUGAAAGCUCCUGCGAAAUAGAUAACUGGUGUAAUUAAAAAUGACACAUGAAGAUCGGUAUAUUAUAUUAUAUUAUUGUUAUUAUUAUUAUUUGUCUGUUAUUAUUACUGUUACAAUCCGUUAAUGUAGGCCUAAUAUUUGACAGUGCUGUUAAUUCAAAUUAAUAUCAAAAUCACAAGCAAUCAGCUUCAAUCUAAUUAUAAAUCAUAAAAAUAUGUCUGAUUUAUUUGGACAUAAACACGUUUGAAUUAAUGUCAUAUUUCGUGAAAUAAAGAUAUUUUAGAAUGUUUCAGCAAUCUAUUAUUUAUUCCCGGUCGAUAUCGUCCAAAUAGAUUAAUGUUGCCUCACUCUAUUAUUUCCAUGAUGAUAUAAUGGAAUCCCCCAAGGUCAAUAGAAAUUUGGUUAUGUUUAAAGGUCAAUAUAAAUUUGUUAAUGUUUUGUCAUACUGUUUUGAAUUCUCCGAAACGAAUUUCAAAACCAACCACAAUUUAGCAUAAGGACACGGAGGUUUUCUUGCAAGAACAUGCUAUCAUACUUUUUCCACAGUUGUCUGGAUCAUUACCGAGAGCUGAAGGAACAUCCCUCCCGAAGUAGCACGGUUUCAGUCAGGCAUGGCGAGAUUAGUGACCGUGGCGAGGAAUACGGUCAUAUGCAUCAAAUGCUGCUGAGGGGCUUGUAUUGUGUGUUUAUCGCGAAACACUGGGUGUGCAAGAGUAGCCUAACUAUAGCCUAAUCAUUUGUCCUUGUCCCCUUCGUAUCGAACUGUCUGAGCAAAUCUAAAGAAAUGUGUAGCUAGACUAUCAUUUUACCGAGCACUUUGGGGGGCAGGUAUGCAUUUUUAUUUUGGGAUUGAGGAGGUGGACACGUAAAGGGCCCAUCUCGCCACAUUACGACAUGUAAUAGAGAGAAGUUUAAGUGGAGCCCGAGAAACCGAGAAGUUAAUAGCGCUGACCCUCUCGCGGUGCCUCUGUCGCUCAUCAUUUCUCAGACUUAAGGGGCUUAAAGAGGCAGUAGGCUAUGGGCCCACCUUUAUUACAUAUCAAACGCUCUCUUCCUUAUCUACAUAAUAGGAAAUACAUGCAUCGUUGCGUGUUAUGCGGAUUUGGAAAUAGAAACAUGUCCAAUAAAGUCGCCCUCCCUCGCUGAUCAAAGGGGAACAUGGCUUUAGGCACCAAAGAAACUACCCCGUCCAUUUAAACCGUUAUUAAAUUGUAUUAAUUCCCCUCUCCACUUUAAACUUAACAUAAAUUCCACCCUUGAGUUGUUUGUCCAGUACAGAGGGGAACAAUUUAAGUGUUACAUUUUCAUGCUUGCAUCAUGCCCCGGAAUUGAAUUCAAUUGGACAGAAUAAUCAAGAACGCAAAUAGAAUGUGUUCGGUUGCCCUCUGGACAAUUGGAGAUGUUUUUAUGCCAGCCUUGAUGGCAGACGUGUCAAGAUUCAUAAUUAGGCAUGCAGCUUUAAACCUUGGAAUGUCUGUCAGACAAGCAUCCAACUAAACAGAUAACCAUAUCUUAUCUUAACGCAAGCUUCUGACACUACACGAAAACCCCACUAUGUAUUUAAAGCUACUUGCAGACCUACAAUUGUCUUCAAAUGUGAGAAUAGGCCAUCCACGUAAUGCACCCUUUGCGUAACAAGUAAAUGGUUAGCAAAGUUUUCUUCUUGAAAUUGUUCAAUGCUAUUUUAUAUAUAUGUUUGUUACGAGUUAUAGCCUUCAGAAAUGCUUUGUUGUCUUUUACUUGGUUGAAAAGUCUCUACUUUUAAUAUAAUACAACACUAAUAAUUAUCGUUUUUUUACAGGAACAUGUUGUGAAAGUGACAUACUGUAGGCUACUUUCAGAUGGCUCUGUCUUCAUGUGCGUGGUAAUAUUUUUGAACUCGCCAAAUUGUCUUAUCAAAAGGCAGGUGAAUAUAGCCCCCCUAUGUGUAUAUACAUCUUAACAAUUAUGGACCUGUUAUGGGACGUUUGCGUAGUGGUAAAUAAGAACAGUUAAAUAAGAGGGAGUUUUCAUUUGGAUAAAUGUGUAUGUUCAGCUGUCAUAUACUAGCCUAUUGCCCUGCUACUUUGUGAAAUUCGUGAGAUGCUUUAUGUUGUACAAUAGGAGUGUAGUUGAACUGGAAAAGGGGCAGGAGGGGUUGUUUCCACCAGGGUGGGGAGUUCCAGUCAUAUAGGUUACAGCUGCAUUACAUUUAGUCUAGGUCGGCUAAAGUGAAAGACUGACUAGAGAUGAAAGUCAAAUGAGGAGAAACACUAGUCUGUUGUUCUAUACACACUAUUGAAUAGGCUUUCAUAACAAAUAUGAACAUUUAAUACAUUUAGUUAACAAAAAAAAUCUGUAAUAAUGUUAUUGGGUCAUGUUAAAUGCUAAAUCUCCAGUUGAGCCACCUGUGCAAUCAUUGUUUACUCUCCCAUGUGUGUAAACUUCAAGUGCCCUACAUGCUGAUAAAUAAGUGUAGUAUGGCAGGCUCAAAAGUCAAGUGUUGCUUGUAAAGAUUCUGAGGUAUCUUUGUGUAUAUUUGUAUCUGUCCUUAAGGUUUUGAUACAAUUAAUAAAUGAGCGUGUUUUAUAACUGAUGAUAUGGUGUUGUGGUGUGAUAACAUUGAAUCUAUUCUUUAUUGCAUUCUAGAUUGUUCUGUAGUUAAUUUGAAUUUCACAUAAGCCGGGUGAAGACUUACAGAUUCUACAGAGAAGCACGGCGUUGUUAGAAUUUUGAUUAAAGGUAUAAUUUUGGAAUAAAACCAAUUUAAACAAACUAUUGACAGUACUGCUCACCCAAUGACAACCUGAAGUGAUUAAAACAGCUAUUAAGAAAUUCAAGAGGCUUCAUGAUGUAACUAGUGAAAGGUCACAUAUGAAUCCAAGAGUUUGAUCUCUCAGUCUCUAACCACUCUGAAUGCAGUGAGCGUCCUGUGUAUUUCAUAUGAUGUGCGGUUCCCAGGUGACAUUUCCGUUGGAAACCCUCACUGACUGACCUCGGAUACUCACCACACAACAUAGGCCCCCUAGAUUACAAUCACCGGCUGGCGUACAUCUGAAAAUACACACCAACCGACCGGUCUCAGUUAACCUAACUCACACACAUCUCAGCCGUGACAUCUCAGCCGAUUGUUAGAGAGAAAGAAAAAAAUGAAAGAUGCAAGUUAACAAAUGCAGAUGGCAUGGUUGUUCCUGUUUUGUUUUCUUCCUGCUCCUUUCUGUUUAUGUGUCGUCGUCCCCCCCCCAACCCACCUCUCGAAACCCCCCUCGGAUCUGCAGGAGUUCACACGAUCAAGCAAUGUACCCAGGUAAUUACCGCACAUUGUCAAAUAAAGCGACCACUGAUUCAAAUGAGGAGUGAAAUAUCAAAGAGCAGCGUUGCCUUUGCAGCCAGCCACUUAUCCACAUAGGAGACAGAGAGGAGAUCUGAGGCGCAGGGGGACCUGCAGAGAGGAGAGGCACUGACAACAGUCAGACGCCAAUUCUUUAGAUAAAUAUCACCGUAACCAAACAUGCUGGAGUUCACCUAUUAUAUAAUAAUAUAGCAUGUACCACAAACAUUCUAGACGUCCAUUAUCAACACCUCAUAUCCUCAGGGUGACCGUGAGAGCAACCUUACCAAGAGAUAUUCAAUACAUUUCUGAUUACACUUCUGGUUCACUAUCCCAUGAGUCAACUCAAAGGUCAAAGGUUGUCAAUCUCACCAGUCAGUCUGGUUGUUGUGGUGAAGCAGUGCCUUCUGGGCAAUCAAUUACUGCUGUAUCUGAACAUGACAGGGUAGUCACACAACAUUUUAUGGCAUCUUGUCACAUACAAAGUUAUACCCAUGUAAGUAUAUGAUUUACUGGUACCUAGUUUUUAAUAACUAAAUUAUAAA